rnacentral:misc_RNA from 1 species
AACGCACAUUGCGCCCGUUAGUAUUCUGACGGGCAUGCCUGUUCGAGCGUCAUUUCAACCCUCAGGCCCUGCCUGGUGAUGGGGAUCCCGCGGUCCAACGCCGCGGGGCCCUGAAAAGCAGCGGCGGGCUCUGCUGAAACCCGAGCGCAGUAAUCUCUCUCGCUUAGGGGACCGGCGGGCGCCCUGCCCCCACACCUUUUAUUUUCCAAUGGUUGACCUCGGAUCAGGUAGGAAUACCCGCUGAACUUAA